AUUGAACGCUGGCGGAAUGCUUUACACAUGCAAGUCGAACGGCAGCACGGACUUCGGUCUGGUGGCGAGUGGCGAACGGGUGAGUAACAAAUCGGAACGUAUCCAAUAAUGGGGGAUAACGAGUCGAAAGAUUCGCUAAUACCGCAUACGCCCUACGAGGGAAAGCUGGGGACCUUCGGGCCUGGCGUUAAUGGAGCGGCCGAUAUCUGAUUAGCUAGUUGGUGAGGUAAAGGCUCACCAAGGCGACGAUCAGUAGCUGGUCUGAGAGGACGACCAGCCACACUGGAACUGAGACACGGUCCAGACUCCUACGGGAGGCAGCAGUGGGGAAUUUUGGACAAUGGGCGCAAGCCUGAUCCAGCCAUUCCGCGUGAGUGAAGAAGGCCUUCGGGUUGUAAAGCUCUUUCGCAAGGGAAGAAAACUUAGCCACUAACAUUGGUUGAGGUUGACGGUACCUUGAUAAGAAGCACCGGCUAACUACGUGCCAGCCGCCGCCGUAA
rnacentral:rRNA from 1 species